CAGCUCGAGGUACCUUUGCUCUUGAUCUACCUAGCCCGGAGCUGGGGGAGGUCCUAUACUGCUGCCUGGCAACUCCACGUUCCCGAAGACUUUUGGGGGGAUGGGAAUAGGACCUCCAGGGCCGGCCUGAAGUGCCUGGUGGUGCAUCCUCUCUGCGCCUGGCUUCAGCCACUCCGCGCCGGCAAGUUGCAUGAGGGCCGGCUGCUGGAGCCGGCGUGGGGCACAGUAGGGGACCCGGCUGGUGGGUGGCUUUCGGCGGGGAGCGAGAGGUUUGCAUUGGCUGCUGUGCCCCGUGCGCUCUGGACACGUUCGCAGGGAAGGCGGCUGGGGGUGGAAGGGAGUCCCCGGGAGCCGGGCUGCCAGGUAAGAAGCGGUGACGCCGCUGCAGAGCAGAGGAGGAACAGGCGGCCGGGGGAACCCGGCAAGCACGGAGCUCGCCCCGGCUCCGUGCACUCCGAGCCCUCCUCUGGGCCGCCGCGGCAAGAAACCGGGCCGCUGCCUCCUGCAGCCCCCCUAGCCGCCCCCAGCAGGGCGCACAGCCGCCGGGAAAGGGCCCUGGCGCUUCCCGCACGGAGAGCCGAGCUGAGCGCGGCUGGGGCUGAGACGUGGCUUGGAGGUGCCAAGCGGACGGCAGGGGGCAUCGUGCGCGCCCCAGCCAGGCGCCCUGCGCCGCGCUCAGCGACCCGGGGGCUUGGCGCCUGGGCCUUGCUCCGCAGAGCGGAGUGCCCGGCUGGGCGGCGGAGACGAGCGAGGCUCAGUCAUCCAAAGGCCGGGGCUCGGGGAGUCCCGGAAGGCUGGUGGGUUGCGGGCGGGCUGGUGCGUUGGCGGUCGUCGGAGCUCUCGGGUUCCCCCGCUUGGCGCUCGCUCGUAAACACCGCCCGGGCUUGGGCUGCGCGGGGUCCGGGGAGCGGGGAGCGGGGCUGCCGGGGAGGAAAGCGGCGUGCUGCGGGACUCAGGCGCGGGCGGGAGAGAGCGAACGGAUGGAGACCGUCUCUCCAUCUGCCUUCGUUGCAGGUUUAA
rnacentral:lncRNA from 1 species